rnacentral:tRNA from 1 species
CGGGGUAUGGCGCAGUUGGUAGCGCGCUUGUCUGGGGGGCAAGAGGCCAUGGGUUCAAGUCCCGUUACUCCGACCA